AGUGAAUAGAUACCCAGGUAGUCCUAGCCGUAAACGAUACUCGCUAGGUGUCGGCCACGGUGCGACCGUUGUCGGUGCCGUAGGGAAAGCCGUGAAGCGAGCCACCUGGGAAGUACGGCCGCAAGGCUGAAACUUAAGGGAAUUGGCGGGGGAGCACCACAACGGGUGGAGCUUGCGGUUAAAUUNGGAUUCAACGCCGGAAAUCUUACCGGGACCGACAGCGAUAUGAAGGCCAGGCUGAAGACUUUGCCGGAUUAGCUGAGAGGUGGUGCAUGGCCGUCGUCAGUUCGUACUGUGAAGCAUCCUGUUAAGUCAGGCAACGAGCGAGACCCACGCCCACAGUUGCCAGCGUACUCUCCGGAGUGACGGGUACACUGUGGGGACCGCCGCUGCUAAAGCGGAGGAAGGAAUGGGCAACGGUAGGUCAGUAUGCCCCGAAUAUCCCGGGCUACACGCGAGCUACAAUGGUUGGAACAAUGGGUAUCUACCCCGAAGGGAUGAAAUCUCCUAAAUCCAAUCUUAGUUCGGAUUGAGGGCUGCAACUCGCCCUC
rnacentral:rRNA from 1 species